GGGAAAAUGAUACAUUUCUGUGAAGCCAAAACUAAUGCAUAAUAACAAAAUGAUAAUCCACUAGUUAAUAUAAAUCCUGGGAGAUCACAGCACACAGGGAUCCUCAUCCAUACACAUGUUCUGUACAGCACUGGAAUAUUUCCUUACACCUUGACAAUGACAGGUGAGUAAGAAAGAAUUGUGUUACUUAAAUAUUGUUCUGUGAUGACACUUAAUGUCGACUACGUGUAUUCAGUCAAGCGGAGAGAGUCAACAUGUCUUAUGUACAUGUAUGUAACUCCCGUAGAGUUUUAUCUCCAUGUGCCCCAGCUAUUUGUGGCCACAAUCAGCCACCGAUUCCCCAGUAGGGAGACACCUACGCCACACAGCACGACCUGCACACAAUGGUUAUGAAGUGACACGGGAGUGUUCCAGACACCUGCCGAACUUAUACAGGUGUUACAUUAUGUUGCCUGUACCCUGUUACUGUACUUGUGCACCAUUUGCCUGCCUACUUCAUUUUAGAUAAAGCAAUCACAGGAUCAUCAUUUUGGAAUAGGAAGCUAAAAAUGGUUCACAAAUAAGCCCUCCCAAACUGAAUUCAGAUCAUUCUUGGUUUAUACAGGUCUCUGUUAUUGCCGGGGGAAAUUUAGACACUCAUCACGCAUUCUUUUAAUUAUUUUCCCAAAAAUGCUCCACUAUCAAUCGUGUUGACAAAGCUGUGCUGCUAUGCUUCCUCAAUCUUCUGUUCAAUUUACUGCCAUUGUCAACAUAUCAAUUUGUUUUUUGUGUUGGUAUGACUAAAUUAUUCAUAAUAGAUAAAAGGUUAAACAAAUACCCUGUCUCCGAAUAUUUCCGACUUCAUCGAUUCAUUACUUGUUAUGGGCCUAUACCUGUCAAAUCGGUACAAACAUUGCGUCGGAUGUCGCCUGAUAUUUCUCCAUAGAUAUAAAAGCGAUUCAUCUAAGUGUCAUUUAUUAUGUAACACCUAAACAUUUUUAUACCAACAAGUUUAAACCAUGUCAACUGUACAUCAAUAUUGGAGUCACUGGAAUCAAAUUUUUAUAUCGUUUUGUUUGUCUUAACGUUGGGUGCCAUUUCGUGAGAGGAUUUUUUUCGAUUUUAAGUUUUCUCACACACCAAUCAUUUUUAAAGCAUUACUUCAAAUAUCGAAAGUAAU